rnacentral:rRNA from 1 species
UAGGGAAUCUUCCACAAUGGACGAAAGUCUGAUGGAGCAACGCCGCGUGAGUGAAGAAGGGUUUCGGCUCGUAAAACUCUGUUGUUAAAGAAGAACAUAUCCGAGAGUAACUGUUCAGGUAUUGACGGUAUUUAACCAGAAAGCCACGGCUAACUACGUGCCUG